GGUCCCAUAGCUCAGUUGGUUAGAGCGUCGUACUAAUACUAUAAGUUCGCUCAUAGCAUGAGUCAAUGCGAAGGCCGUGAGUUCAAGCCUCACUGGGACCA